rnacentral:rRNA from 1 species
CCUACGGGAGGCAGCAGUGAGGAAUAUUGGUCAAUGGGCGCGAGCCUGAACCAGCCAAGUCGCGUGAGGGAGGACGGCCCUACGGGUUGUAAACCUCUUUUGCCGGGGAGCAACGGGCGUCACGUGUGGCGCCACUGAGAGUACCCGGAGAAAAAGCAUCGGCUAACUCCGUGCCAGCAGCCGCGGUAAUACGGAGGAUGCGAGCGUUAUCCGGAUUUAUUGGGUUUAAGGGGUGCGUAGGCGGAUCGUUAAGUCAGUGGUCAAAUUGAGGGGCUCAACCCCUUCCCGCCAUUGAAACUGGCGAUCUUGAGUGGAAGAGAAGUAUGCGGAAUGCGUGGUGUAGCGGUGAAAUGCAUAGAUAUCACGCAGAACCCCGAUUGCGAAGGCAGCAUGCCGGCUUCCGACUGACGCUGAAGCACGAAAGCGUGGGGAUCGAACAGGAUUAGAUACCCCUGUAGUC